GUCUUUUUGUUUUAAAUUUAAAGUCUGGCCUGCCCACUGAAAUUUUGAAUGGCCGCGGUAUUUUGACCGUGCUAAGGUAGCAUAAUCAUUAGUUUUUUAAUUAAAAGCUGGAAUGAAGGGUUGGAUGAAAAAAUGACUGUCUCUGAAUUAUUUUAUUAGAAAUUUAUUUUUAAGUUAAAAAGCUUAAAUAAUUUUAAAAGACGAGAAGACCCUAUAGAGUUUUAUAAAAUUAAUUUUUAAAAAAUUUAGGAUUAAAAUUUUUGAAAAUUGAUUUUAUUUAAUUGGGGUGAUUAAAAAAUUUAAAAAACUUUUUUUUUAUUUAAAUAUAAAUUAAUAAAUUUAUGAUCCAAUAUUUUUGAUUAUAAGAAUAAGUUACCUUAGGGAUAACAGCGUAAUUUUAUUAGAGAGUUCAAAUCGAAAAUAAAGAUUGCGA
rnacentral:rRNA from 1 species